UCAAAGAUUAUUUUCAAAAUACAUGAGAAGACACAUUGAAGAUGUUCCUUUAAGUCAAGUUAUAGAUGUUCAAGUAGGCGAUGAUAAAUCCAAUAACCAGGAAAAUGGCGGAAACACUAGUUUUAACAGAACAGCUGAUUCAUUGAAUAGUGAAAUUGACCAUUUUGCCGAAUUAAUUCAGAGCAGAUUGAGGAAUCGAAAGGAAGUGCUACAUAAAUACAUGAAGAUUUUAAAAUCAAUGGAAGACCAAGAACAAAUUAUAAACGAUAUAUUAAAAUGAAAUUGAUGUUUUACACAAACUAUAAAUUUUCUAACAAAAUGAGCUGCAGUGUAUAUUUAUAUAUGUAUAAAAAAUAUAAUAUGAUAUUCAAGAACUUGAUA